rnacentral:lncRNA from 7 species
GAUUAUAAGCGAACGAUGCUCGGUAAGGCACGAAAUAGAACGCGGGCGCCACGCAAAACAAAGCGCACGACACCACACGAACAACGCGCGAACGGCACGUCCAAACGACGCGCGGACACACGAGCGAAUGAAUGAUGACAACGCACAAAGAGCGUGCAGAUGACACACGAAAUAACGUGCGCGAUGACGCGCGAAAAGCGUGCAUGACAGCUCUCGCGACACGCGAGAAUCACUAAUAAAUAUCGUGUUUAUACUAAACAAGUGCUAAUUAUAACAUUUGAUUCAACAUUAUC